GACGAACGCUGGCGGCGUGCUUAACACAUGCAAGUCGAACGGAAAGGCCCUGCUUUUGUGGGGUGCUCGAGUGGCGAACGGGUGAGUAACACGUGAGUAACCUGCCCUUGACUUUGGGAUAACUUCAGGAAACUGGGGCUAAUACCGGAUAGGAGCUCCUGCUUCAUGGUGGGGGUUGGAAAGUUUCGGCGGUUGGGGAUGGACUCGCGGCUUAUCAGCUUGUUGGUGGGGUAGUGGCUUACCAAGGCUUUGGCGGGUAGCCGGCCUGAGAGGGUGACCGGCCACAUGGGGACUGAGAUACGGCCCAGACUCCUACGGGAGGCAGCAGUGGGGAAUAUUGCACAAUGGGCGGAAGCCUGAUGCAGCAACGCCGCGUGCGGGAUGACGGCCUUCGGGUUGUAAACCGCUUUCGCCUGUGACGAAGCGUGAGUGACGGUAAUGGGUAAAGAAGCACCGGCUAACUACGUG
rnacentral:rRNA from 1 species